UGGUGCCAGCAGCCGCGGUAAUUCCAGCUCCAAUAGCGUAUAUUAAAGUUGCUGCAGUUAAAAAGCUCGUAGUUGAAUUUCGGGACCGUCAUGUCGGUCGUGCCUCGGUACGUACUGGCAUCGUUGGUUUCUCCCUUCUGACGAACCAUGAUGUCAUUUAUUUGAUGUCGUGGGAAAUCAGGACUGUUACUUUGAAAAAAUUAGAGUGUUUAAAGCAGGCUCACGCUUGAAUACAUUAGCAUGGAAUAAUGAAAUAGGACGUUUAAUUCUAUUUUGUUGGUUUCUAGGAUUGACGUAAUGAUUAAUAGGGAUAGUUGGGGGCAUUAGUAUUCAAUUGUCAGAGGUGAAAUUCUUGGAUUUAUUGAAGACUAACUACUGCGAAAGCAUUUGCCAAGGAUGUUUUCAUUAAUCAAGAACGAAAGUUAGGGGAUCGAAGACGAUCAGAUACCGUCGUAGUCUUAACCAUAAACUAUGCCGACUAGGGAUCGGAUGAUGUUAAUUUUUUAAUGACUCAUUCGGCG
rnacentral:rRNA from 1 species